rnacentral:rRNA from 1 species
GUGAAAGCGGAGCUUGCUCCGCCGGAUCAGUGGCGAACGGGUGAGUAACACGUGAGCAAUCUGCCCCAGACUCUGGGAUAAGCGCUGGAAACGGCGUCUAAUACCGGAUACGAGCUACGAAGGCAUCUUCAGUAGCUGGAAAGAAUUUCGGUCUGGGAUGAGCUCGCGGCCUAUCAGCUUGUUGGUGAGGUAACGGCUCACCAAGGCGUCGACGGGUAGCCGGCCUGAGAGGGUGACCGGCCACACUGGGACUGAGACACGGCCCAGACUCCUACGGGAGGCAGCAGUGGGGAAUAUUGCACAAUGGGCGCAAGCCUGAUGCAGCAACGCCGCGUGAGGGACGACGGCCUUCGGGUUGUAAACCUCUUUUAGCAGGGAAGAAGCCUUCGGGUGACGGUACCUGCAGAAAAAGCACCGGCUAACUACGUGCCAGCAGCCGCGGUAAUACGUAGGGUGCAAGCGUUAUCCGGAAUUAUUGGGCGUAAAGAGCUCGUAGGCGGUCUGUCGCGUCUGCUGUGAAAACCCGAGGCUCAACCUCGGGCCUGCAGUGGGUACGGGCAGACUAGAGUGCGGUAGGGGAGAUUGGAAUUCCUGGUGUAGCGGUGGAAUGCGCAGAUAUCAGGAGGAACACCGAUGGCGAAGGCAGAUCUCUGGGCCGUAACUGACGCUGAGGAGCGAAAGGGUGGGGAGCAAACAGGCUUAGAUACCCUGGUAGUCCACCCCGUAAACGUUGGGAACUAGUUGUGGGGUCCAUUCCACGGAUUCCGUGACGCAGCUAACGCAUUAAGUUCCCCGCCUGGGGAGUAC